rnacentral:misc_RNA from 1 species
GAAACGCGAUAAGUAAUGUGAAUUGCAGAAUUCAGUGAAUCAUCGAAUCUUUGAACGCACAUUGCGCCCGUCAGCAUUCUGGCGGGCAUGCCUGUUCGAGCGUCAUUUCAACCCUCAGGACCCCCCUUUCGCGGGGAGGGACCUGGCGUUGGGGAUCGGCCCGCCCCCCGCGGCGGCGCCGUCCCCGAAAUCUAGUGGCGGUCUCGCUGCAGCCUCCCCUGCGUAGUAGUUACAACCUCGCAUCGGAGCGCGGCGCGGCCACGCCGUAAAACCCCCGACUUUCUGAACGUUGACCUCGGAUCAGGUAGGAAUACCCGCUGAACUUAAGC